rnacentral:rRNA from 1 species
AUCAACUUUCGAUGGUAGGAUAGAGGCCUACCAUGGUGGUAACGGGUAACGGGGUGUUAGGGCACGACACCGGAGAGGGAGCCUGAGAAACGGCUACCACAUCCAAGGAUGGCAGCAGGCGCGCAAAUUACCCAAUCCCGACACGGGGAGGUAGUGACAAUAAAUAACAAUACGGGGUCCUUUGGGUCUCGUAAUUGGAAUGAGUACAAUUUAAAUCUCUUAACGGGGAACAAUUGGAGGGCAAGUCUGGUGCCAGCAGCCGCGGUAAUUCCAGCUCCAAUAGCGUAUAUUAAAGUUGUUGCAGUUAAAAAGCUCGUAGUUGAAUUUCGGGGUCGGUAGGUUGGUCAUGCCAUCGGUAUGCACUGGUCUCACCGAUUCCUCCCUCUUGUAGAAGCGUAAUGCCAUUAAGUUGGUGUUGCGGGGAAACAGGACUGUUACUUUGAAAAAAUUAGAGUGUUUAAAGCAGGCUAACGCUUGAAUACAUUAGCAUGGAAUAAUGAAAUAGGACGUCGAUCCUAUUUUGUUGGUUUCUAGGGUUGACGUAAUGAUUAAUAGGGAUAGUUGGGGGCAUUAGUAUUCAAUUGUCAGAGGUGAAAUUCUUGGAUUUAUUGAAGACUAACUACUGCGAAAGCAUUUGCCAAGGAUGUUUUCAUUAAUCAAGAACGAAAGUUAGGGGAUCGAAGACGAUCAGAUACCGUCGUAGUCUUAACCAUAAACUAUGCCGACUAGGGAUCGGAUGAUGUUAAUUUUUUAAUGACUCAUUCGGCGCCUUACGGGAAACCAAAGUGUUUGGGUUC